GGUAUUAUGACCGUGCGAAGGUAGCAUAAUCAUUAGUCUUUUAAUUGAAGGCUGGUAUGAAUGGUUGGACGAGAAAUUAGCUGUCUUAAUUUUGAAAAUUGAAUUUAACUUUUGAGUGAAAAGGCUCAAAUGGGCUAGAGGGACGAUAAGACCCUAUAAAGUUUGUACAUUAAAAUAAUUAAAGGUGAUUUAGGUUUAUAAAGUCUAUAAUUAGAAAAGUGUUUAGUUGGGGCGACUGAGAUAUAAGUUAUCUAACUGUUUCUUUGUUUUAAUCAAAAAUAUUUGAGUUUAUGAUCCUUUUUUAGGAUUAAAGAGUAAAUUACUUUAGGGAUAACAGCGUAAUUUUUUUUGAGAGUUCUUAUCGAUAAGAGAGUUUGCGACCUCGAUGUUGAAUUAAAAUUUC
rnacentral:rRNA from 1 species